UACGGAGGGUGCAAGCGUUGCUCGGAAUUAUUGGGCGUAAAGGGCAGGUAGGUGGUCUUAUUUGUCUUAUGUGAAAGCCUUGGGCUUAACUCAAGAAGUGCGUAAGAAACGGUAAGACUAGAGUCCUAGAGAGGCUAGUGGAAUUCCCGGUGUAGCGGUGAAAUGCGUAGAGAUCGGGAGGAACACCAGAGGCGAAGGCGGCUAGCUGGAUAGGCACUGACACUCAACUGCGAAAGCGUGGGGAGCAAACAGG
rnacentral:rRNA from 1 species